CUGUGAGCUUUGUUUUCUAUUUGUUUCCAGGUGCUGUGCUGAAGAUUGACCCUGGCUGGUCGACUCUUUUCAUUGGAGAGGUUGUUACUCUGACAUGUGACGUUGAAGGAGCAGAGGCAGGCUGGGAAUACAGUUUCAACAGAGAUCAACAACAAUAUCUUCAUUACCAAACAGCCAAUUACUACAAAUUCAACAUAAAUUAAAUUAUUCUCCAAUUAUGGUCGUCACAAGGUUUCAUGUCAAACAGAGAAAAGUCAAACUGUCUCUUUUACUGCAGCAGUCACCAACAAGCCUGUCAUAACACGACAACCCAGCUGGUCUCAGAUAUUCCAGGGUGAGAAGAUCACUCUGACAUGUGAGGUUGAGGGAGGAGAGAAGACUGACUGGAGGUAUUACUGGUGGAGAAAUUCAGGAUCACACCCAGAGCAGAAUGAAAAUUUGUUACAAUUCACUGCUUCUGAGUCCCUCAAUGGAGAGUAUGGAUGUAUGGCCAGACGCAGAGAUGACUCUUAUCCUUCAACUACAUGGAGUGAAGCCUUCACAGUGUCAGUGUUACCUCAACCAAAAGCUCAACUGGGAACCAAUAAAUUCAACAUGUCUGAAGGCAGCAGAGUGACGCUGACCUGCUCAGUGAAUCAACCAGCUGGAUGGAAAUACUUCUGGUACAGAGACUCCAAAACCUCCCUCCUGAACACACAUGAUACUGAUGAGUUUCAGAGUCAGUCUGAAGUCUCACAGGAAGGACGUUACUGGUGCAGAGGAGGAAGAGGAGGAAGAGGAGGAAGAGGAGGAAGAGGAGAUCCACUUUACGACACAG
rnacentral:lncRNA from 1 species